CCGCUUAACUUGACGGGAUCAAUUGAUGAUCAACAAGACUCAUGGUCUAGGUUGAUGACCUCUAUUGCGUUUAGGAGGAAUGUCUCACUAAGGUUGGCCCAAGUGGUCGAGCCUAUAUCAUAGUUUAUGACAGUGGAGGCCUAUGUUCGUGCAGCCCUUGU